CCCUUAGAUGUUCUGGGCCGCACGCGCGCUACACUGACGAAUGCAACGAGCUCCUAACCUAGGCCGAAGGGUCCGGGUAAUCUUUGAAAUUUCAUCGUGAUGGGGAUAGAUUAUUGCAAUUAUUAAUCUUCAACGAGGAAUUCCUAGUAAGCGCGAGUCAUCAGCUCGCGUUGAUUACGUCCCUGCCCUUUGUACACACCGCCCGUCGCUCCUACCGAUUGAAUGGUCCGGUGAAAUGUUCGGACCGCGACAAGGCGGACGGUUCGCUGUCAGCUUUGCUGCGGGAAGUUCAUUAAACCUUAUCAUUUAGAGGAAGGAGAAGUCGUAACA
rnacentral:rRNA from 1 species